rnacentral:rRNA from 1 species
AUGGUCGAAGGCUCGGAGACAGAUAUCUCCAAUCUUAAGUUCCUUCUCCUCUGCUUCCAACAAAUGUCUGGCCUUAAGAUAAACUUCGACAAGAGUGAUGUGAUGGUGAUGGGCUACUCUCCGGUCGAGUCCCUUGCUAUUGCCAACCGGCUUAACUGCCGCCUGGGCUCCUUCCCCACGACCUACUUGGGAACGCCAAUUAGUGACUCCCGGCUCACCGCCGCGGACUUGCGCCCGACCGUGGCCAAGCAUCAAACACGCAUCGAGCCAUGGCAGGGUAGAUGGUUGUCAAAGGUGGCUCGGAUGAUUCUCAUUAACUCAUCCCUCUCCAGCCUCCUCUUGUUCCUCAUGAGCUUCUACAACCUUCACGAAACUCUGCACCAUGAGAUCACCAAAGUCUAGUCUCGUUUCUAUUUGGCAGGUGACAACAAUAAGCAAAAAUACCAUAUAGUCAGCUGGUCGGACAUUUGCAAGCCCAGGGAACAAGGAGGCCUCGGUAUCAUGUGCUCUAAGCGCAUGAAUAUAGCCCUCGUAUCCCGAUGGAUCUGGCGCAUCUCACAAGGUCAUGGUGGCCUCUGGCUCGACAUCAUCCGGAACAAGUACCUGCAUGGACAGCCCAUAGCCUUCUGUCAGAGAUCUGGCGGCUCCCAUUUCUGGAAGUCGGUCGUCCAACUUAUCCCUGGACCUCCAUCUCGGUGGGGUCCAGAGCGGCGAUUUUGUUCUGGUUUGACCGGUGGGCUGGAGACACCCCCUUUGCUGCGCGCUUCCCCGGCCUCUUCUCCAUCGCUGUCGACCCCUUGA